UACGGAAGGUCCGGGCGUUAUCCGGAUUUAUUGGGUUUAAAGGGAGCGCAGGCGGCGUGUUAAGCGUGCUGUGAAAUGCACCGGCUCAACCGGUGGAGUGCAGCGCGAACUGGCGCGCUUGAGUAUGGACGAGGAAGGCGGAAUUCGUGGUGUAGCGGUGAAAUGCUUAGAUAUCACGAAGAACCCCGAUUGCGAAGGCAGCCUUCCAGGGCAUUACUGACGCUAAAGCUCGAAGGUGCGGGUAU
rnacentral:rRNA from 1 species